UUAUUUCUUUCAUCACCUUCCCAGGGGGUCAGAACAUUACAUACACUGAAUUAGGAUUUGGUAGCAUGGCCUUUAAAUAGUUUAACUUGGGUCAAACGUUUCGGGUAGCCUUCCACAAGCUUCCCAGAAUAGAUUGGGGGAAUUCUGGCCCAUUCCUCCUGACAGAGCUGGUGUAACUGAGGCAGGUUUGUAGGCCUCCUGACAGAGCUGGUGUAACUGAGGCAGGUUUGUAGGCCUCCUGACAGAGCUGGUGUAACUGAGGCAGGUUUGUAGGCCUCCUGACAGAGCUGGUGUAACUGAGGCAGGUUUGUAGGCCUCCUGACAGAGCUGGUGUAACAGAGGCAGGUUUGUAGGCCUCCUGACAGAGCUGGUGUAACUGAGGCAGGUUUGUAGGCCUCCUGACAGAGCUGGUGUAACUGAGGCAGGUUUGUAGGCCUCCUGACAGAGCUGGUGUAACUGAGGCAGGUUUGUAGGCCUCCUGACAGAGCUGGUGUAACUGAGGCAGGUUUGUAGGC